GGUUUAAGGAAGUUUCUCCUCAGACUGUGGUUUGGGUGGCAAACAGGGAGAAGCCAGUUACAAACUCCUCGGCAAGUCUCACAAUUGGCAGCGAUGGGAAUCUGAGGCUUAUGGAUGGGCAGCAGAACUCUAUCUGGUCAACUAAUAUUUCUAGACAAUCGAAUGGUUCAGUUGCUGUACUUUCAGAUGACGGAAAAUUCAUUUUGAGGAGCAGUAUAACAGGAGAGGACCUAUGGGAAAGCUCUCAGCAUCCUACCGAAUCUCUCCUGCCCGGUACAUGGUUGGCCUACAAUGAGACAACUGGGAUGAGACUUACUCUCACUUCCUGGAAAAGU
rnacentral:misc_RNA from 1 species